rnacentral:rRNA from 1 species
AUGACAAAUGCCUACAUUGUCUGCUCAAGAGAAGGGACGCACAAGCAGACUGUGUCAUAUUAUCACCGGAAACGUCAGAAGAUAUCAAAAAGGAUUGGCUGCAAGGCAAAGAUUAGAGUCAAAAAGGGAGAUGGCAAAUUUGUGAUAGAAAUAGUUGAACUCAACAACAAUCACAAGAUGCUAGAAAGCCCCGGGAUGCUUUUGCACAUGCGAUCGCAUAAAAGACGACCUUUGGUAGACCAGUUAGUGAAAGACAUGCAAUUGGACAAUCACACACAUGCUUAGAUGAUGUCAACGCUGUCGCGUAUGUUCGGUGGUCUGCAGUACAUGGGACAUACUAGCUGCGACUGGGUAAACAAGCAACAGAAGUUUCCCAGAGAAGAGUCCGAAGAUGAUGUCAAGAAACUUCUGGAUUUCUUCAAGAAGAUGCAAAAGAUAAACCCAGAGUUCUUCUAUGAUUAUGACGCCAACGCAAGUUGCAAAGGACCGUAUGAAGAUUUUGGAUACUACGUUACAUUUGACACGACGUAUAAAACCAACAAAUUCCACAUGCCGCUGGGAGUCUUCGUGGGAGUGAACCAUCAUCUACAGAGCACCAUAUUUUCUAUUGCCCUCGUGCGAGAUGAAACAAUACCAUCAUUCGAGUAAGGUUUCAAAACAUUUCUGAGGUGUAUGAACAACAAGCCGCCAAUCUGCAUGCUCACAGACCAGUGUUCUUCGAUGAAGGCAGCAUUAAAAACUAUCCUCCCACAUACUCUGCAUAAGUUGUGUCGGUGGCAUGUCAUGAAGAAGUACAAAGACCACCUCGCCUUGCUGUAUAAGGCACACGAGAAACCCACAGAUGACCUCAAUGCGGUGCUGAACCACCCACUAAUGCUGUCAGAAUUUGAACGAGCAUGGAAGGACCUCAUUCAGAGAUACAACUUGCAAGACGACAAAGUGAUGAAUUCGCUGUGGGAUGACAGGCACGAGUGGAUCUCGGCUUACUACAAGGAAAUUUUUUGUGCUUGGAUGACUUCCACACAGAGAAGCAAGAGCAUGAACCGCAUACUGAAGAAUUUUUUUGUCAAAGAGAAGCAUGAUCUCCAUCUGUUUGCUCAGUAG